rnacentral:rRNA from 1 species
UACGUAGGGGGCAAGCGUUGUCCGGAUUUAUUGGGCGUAAAAGGCUUGUAGGUGGCCACGCCAAGUCAGAUGUGAAAUCUCCCGGCUCAACUGGGAGGGGUCAUUCGAUACUGGCGGGCUCGAGGCCGGUAGGGGGAAGUGGAAUUCCCGGUGUAGUGGUGGAAUGCGCAGAUAUCAGGAGGAACACCAAUUGCGAAGGCAGCUCGCUGGGACGUUACUGACGCUGAGACGCGAAAGCGUGGGGAGCAAACAGG